GCGUACAGCCACAGCAGUCUUAGAACGCCUGGUCUCAUCUGAUCUCAGGAGCUAAGCAGGUUUGGGCUUGGUUUGUACUUGGUUGGGAGACCGCCAGGGAAUAGCAGGUGCUGUAAGCU
ensembl:rRNA 5S_rRNA 5S ribosomal RNA